rnacentral:tRNA from 4 species
GGCUUCGCCUCAUAAUGGAAAUAAAAAUAAGAGCCUUGAGAAAGCUCUUAAGGCUAAA